GAUGAAGAACGCAGCGAAAUGCGAUACGUAAUAUGAAUUGCAGAUAUUCGUGAAUCAUCGAAUCUUUGAACGCACAUUGCGCCCUUUGGUAUUCCAAAGGGCAUGCCUGUUUGAGCGUCAUUUCUCCCUCAAACCCCCGGGUUUGGUGUUGAGCAAUACGCUAGGUUUGUUUGAAAGAAUUUACGUGGAAACUUAUUUUAAGCGACUUAGGUUUAUCCAAAACGCUUAUUUUGCUAGUGGCCACCACAAUUUAUUUCAUAACUUUGACCUCAAAUCAGGUAGGACUACCCGCUGAACUUAAGCAUAUCAAUAAGCGGAGGA
rnacentral:misc_RNA from 1 species